AGUAUCAUACCUGUUUAUUUCUAUUUUAUAUAAGAUGUCGACACACCAUCCUCCAUUAAAUAAAAAUUAAAUGAAAUUAAAUCACAUUUUAUUUGUAUGCCACAUUUAACAAUGGGCAUUGUGUCAAAGCAGCUUUGUAGAACAUAAGAAAUAUAGUACAAAAAGUUAAAGAUUAAUAUCAGACAUAUACUUAAAUUUAUUUGUAUCAAUCCCUAAUCCCUAAUGAUCGAGCCUGAGGUGACUGUGGCAAGGAAAAAUUCCCUUAGAUGGUAAGAGCAAGAAAUAUUGAGAGGAACCAAACUCAAAGGGGAUCCAUCCUCAUUUGGGUGACACCAGAGAGUGUGAUUAUAAAUUAUUACAAAAAACAGGAGAGUGUGAUUAUCAGUAAUGACCUUUGAGUCAUAUACAGUGAGUUAUAGUUGACUAGUAACCAGGAGCUCCUGAGCAACUCAAAUUAGCUCAGCAUCUGAGUUCAUUAUUGAAUCAACACCAACUCCUCCAAGCUGAAGCCUUCAAAUGCUCAAUGAUAGAGAUACAGCAUAUGUAGAAUGUUAUUUUGUUUAUUGAUUAGAAGGUUGUUGUCCUCAAAGUCCACAUGGGGUUGGCAUCUUUUCUUUGAAAGUCUGAAAUCUUCAUGAAGCAGAAUCCAACUGGAUCUGGUACAAUCUCUAGAUGCCUUGGGAUGGGUAGAAAAAGAGAAGCAAGUGGAGAGGAUUUAGUGUAGCUUCUGUUUAAAGAGAAAUGUCUUUAAUCUACAUUUAAACUGGGAGACUGUGUCUGAGCCUGGAACAGUGUCAGGAAGACUAUUCCAAAUUUAAGAGCUAAAUACGACAAUGCUUUACCCCCUUAGUGGACUUUGAUAUUCAGGGAACUACCAGAAGGAGUUUGGUGAUCUCAAAGAGCGUGGUGGAUUGUAACACGUUAGACGACUGGAGAGAUAGGUGGGAGCUAAACCAUUUAGAGCCUUGUACGUAAGUAGAGCUAAUUUAUAAUCAAUUCUAAAUUUAUCAGGUAGCCAGUGCAGGGAUGACAAUAUUGGGGUUAUAUGAUCAUAUUUUCUUAAUCUGGUAAGAAAUCUGGCGGCUGCAUUCUGGACUAACUGUAGCUUGUUUACUGAAGAUGCAGGACAAACACCUAGUAAUGCAUUACAGUAGUCCAGUCUGGAGGUCAGGAAUGCAUGAACUAGUUAUUCUGCAUCAGAUACAGAUAAAAUGUUCCUAGGCAAUAUUUCUAAAGUGGAAGAAGGCUGUUUUUGUGAUAUGGGCGAUAUGAGUUUCAAAAGACAAUUUACAUCUGGAACUCCACCCAGUGUUUCAAAAUGCAGUAAUAAAACAGGCAGGAAUUUGGCUUCAUUCCACUGUCUCUAACAAAACUGUCCUUAGUGAAAACCUCUCCCUAUUAAUAAAUCAUUCAAUAUUUGUACAAUGUGAAAAUUGAUUCAUUGUGUGCAUUUUCAUCAUUCAGGAGUCGUCAUUUCAGGUGAAGACGAUCGGAUUAUUUCCUUAACAGUCUCCAAUAUAAUCUCUGUUAUUGUAAUCACAGUUCUGGUUGGAGUUUUAUAUAAAAAUCACAGAAAAGAUUCUUCAUCAAGCAACCAUCAAAUUCCCACCAAUCAGGCUGCUGAUGAUGAAGAUGUCUUGAACUAUGCAGCUGUCAUGUAUUGGUGAGAUAAACAGUUUUGUUUCAUUUUCGUGAACUGCUGACAAUAUUUCUCCUAAAUUCAAAAUAUAACAAUUGUUAUUUAGAGUGUAUAUUUAAAGGAAACGACAUCACAUAAUAACCCAAGAUCAUGCAGUAUUUGCAAAGCUUUAAUAACUCAAAUAAAACAAAAUGCUAAUAAUUUGCAAACAAAUUGUGUUAAUGCUUUGGCUAAAUAACAUUAAGAGAUCAGUAUUUGGUGGAAUAACCCCAUUUUGGCUCCUUGCUCUCCACCAGUUUUUUUUUUUUUUAGAUUAGAUCAGUCCACAGGUUCAAAACAUCCAAUCAGGUGUGAGUCUGGACCUGGUUUUCUACUGAACACACAAGUUCAUUCCCUCACUAUCACUUCGUCUGAACAGGAACGAUGACCACACUCUUUGUCGCUCUUUGUGUUCUUUUUUCUCUCUUCACAGCUGGUGAGUAACAUUCUGAAAACUUUAACUUCAAUUAAUUCAAUAUGAAAUAUUACUGUAUUAUCAUUAAAUAUUAAACACUUUUUACAGUAAAUUCUUCUGACAUCAAGGAGCUUCAUGUGAGAACAGUAAAGAGUGGAGAAGAUGUAACUAUGGAGUGUAACAUUAGCAGUGUCACAGGGAAAGAUAAAGUAGUUUGGUUCAGACAGAGUUCAGGAAAAUUGCCUCAGUAUUUUGCAAGACCAUACUCGGGCUCUGUGGGCUACAAAUUUGUUGGGGGAUUUAAUGAUAGUCGCUUCAGUAUUAGUGUAAAUGACCAAAAAUUUGAUCUCAAUAUUAACAAAAUAAGAGAAGAUGAUGUAGGAGAAUAUUUCUGUGGAGAAAUGGAAGGAAGUGUACUGAAGUUCACAUCUGGAACACAUCUGCAAUUUGAAGGUAAACAGUUUGACUUUGAAAACCUGCUAAUUCCAGAUCAACACUUUAAAUAUGUUAUACAAUUAAAUAUUUCACAUAUUCACAUUAUUCAUAUUUAGUAUCAUACCUGUUUAUUUCUAUUUUAUAUAAGAUGUCGACACACCAUCCUCCAUUAAAUAAAAAUUAAAUGAAAUUAAAUCACAUUUUAUUUGUAUGCCACAUUUAACAAUGGGCAUUGUGUCAAAGCAGCUUUGUAGAACAUAAGAAAUAUAGUACAAAAAGUUAAAGAUUAAUAUCAGACAUAUACUUAAAUUUAUUUGUAUCAAUCCCUAAUCCCUAAUGAUCGAGCCUGAGGUGACUGUGGCAAGGAAAAAUUCCCUUAGAUGGUAAGAGCAAGAAAUAUUGAGAGGAACCAAACUCAAAGGGGAUCCAUCCUCAUUUGGGUGACACCAGAGAGUGUGAUUAUAAAUUAUUAUAAACACAGGAGAGUGUGAUUAUCAGUAAUGACCUUUGAGUCAUAUACAGUGAGUUAUAGUUGACUAGUAACCAGGAGCUCCUGAGCAACUCAAAUUAGCUCAGCAUCUGAGUUCAUUAUUGAAUCAACACCAACUCCUCCAAGCUGAAGCCUUCAAAUGCUCAAUGAUAGAGAUACAGCAUAUGUAGAAUGUUAUUUUGUUUAUUGAUUAGAAGGUUGUUGUCCUCAAAGUCCACAUGGGGUUGGCAUCUUUUCUUUGAAAGUCUGAAAUCUUCAUGAAGCAGAAUCCAACUGGAUCUGGUACAAUCUCUAGAUGCCUUGGGAUGGGUAGAAAAAGAGAAGCAAGUGGAGAGGAUUUAGUGUAGCUUCUGUUUAAAGAGAAAUGUCUUUAAUCUACAUUUAAACUGGGAGACUGUGUCUGAGCCUGGAACAGUGUCAGGAAGACUAUUCCAAAUUUAAGAGCUAAAUACGACAAUGCUUUACCCCCUUAGUGGACUUUGAUAUUCAGGGAACUACCAGAAGGAGUUUGGUGAUCUCAAAGAGCGUGGUGGAUUGUAACACGUUAGACGACUGGAGAGAUAGGUGGGAGCUAAACCAUUUAGAGCCUUGUACGAGUCGUCAUUUCAGGUGAAGACGAUCGGAUUAUUUCCUUAACAGUCUCCAAUAUAAUCUCUGUUAUUGUAAUCACAGUUCUGGUUGGAGUUUUAUAUAAAAAUCACAGAAAAGAUUCUUCAUCAAGCAACCAUCAAAUUCCCACCAAUCAGGCUGCUGAUGAUGAAGAUGUCUUGAACUAUGCAGCUGUGAGUUUUGCUAAGAAACCUUCAUCCUCCAGAACAUUCAGAGAAAAGAUCUAUGAUGUUUAUGCACAAGUUAAAAUUAAAUAGAGAAAGAAACUUCUGAUUUAAAUCAUCAGACACUGGAGAUUUAUUGCUGUAAGUCACAUUUUAUUUGGUCAUGCUUGAUAGGGGGAAAAGAGGAGAGGGGGAUUACUUUUUGCCAAAAAUCCAAAAAUUCAAUAUUGUUACAUUUUCUCAACAUACUUAUUCUAAUUACUAUUUUUUAUCAUUGUCCUAUUAAAUAAAUAACAAAAACAAUUUGUUUAUGAAAGGAAAUCUCUGGAGGUUAGAGUAAAUUAUAUGUAUAUAAAGUAUAUUAAAAAGUUCAUAAAUAAAUUGAAUGUUUACUGUGUUUACUAUAUAACUUAAAAUAAACUAAACUACCUGAAAUAAAUUCGAGUUGAAGUCUCAGGUUGCUUCUGUUAUUGUUUCUAAAGCAACAACUUCACAGAGAUGUCUUACACUGGUCACUCCACAUAACCAAAGCCUACAAAGAAAGGUGUUAUUUAGAGACGUUGCUAGGUUACAGAGUGCUGGUUGUUCUUGUGGUCCAUCAGUGUUUUAAUUCUGUUCCACAUGAGCUGUUGUUCCCAAAGUUCUCAUAUUUUUUGCAUCCUUAAUGUUUUUCUUGAGGUUCCCUUUAGCUUUCCUCUAGCUGUAGGUCUGUUUAUCAGCCACCUGAAUGUGACAUCUCCUUCCUUAAACAGAUUCUGCAUUCUGUUUAGACGUGACUUCUGCUUAGGAAAAUGACAACAAUUCCAGUGUGGAAGGUCAGGUAUCCCAGGAUUCCCUGUGAAACCAAAUCCAGUCAGUGUAUCAGUCUUGCAGCAUUGAGGUGACAUCCAAAGGUCCUACAGAUCAAUGGUAUUUCCACCAGGAUCAGUUUUAGGGAAAUAUAGUCUGAUAGUUUGUGUGAAUUUGGUCCAGAGUGUUAAACUUCAUUUGAAGUUGAAAUCUCUGCUCCUUCUAUAGUCCCCAGUCUUGUCCACUCUGUGGACAGCAUGAUCAGAUGACUCGAUUUGCAGCAUUAGGAAUAAAGUAAUUCAGCCCAGUGAAUGGUGAAUUUGUACAGUGCUGUGAAAAGUUUUUUCCCCUUACUUUUUUUUUUGCAUAUUUGUCACACUUAAAAAAUUCAGAUCAUCAAACAAAUGUUAAUAUUACACAACGGUAAUGCAACAAAUACAAAAUGCAGUUUUUAAAUGAUUAUUUCAUUUAUCAAGGGAAAAAAAUCUGUCCAAACCUGCCUGGCCCUACAUGAAAAAUUAAUUGCCCCCUCCUAUUAAAUCAUGAAAGAACUGUGAUUAACCACAUUAUUUUAGAAAGCUGAGUUAAAUUUAACUAGACACACCCAGACCUGAUUACUGCCACACCUGUGGAAUCAAGAAAUCUCUUCAACAGAACCUGUGUGACAAAGUGAAGCAUGCGAAAGAGAAACACAUCAUGCUGUGAUCUAAACAAAUUCAAGAACAGAGAAACAAAAUAGUUGACAUGUAUCAGUCUAGAAAGGGUUAUAAAGCCAUUUCUAAGGCUCUGGGACUCCAGUGAACUGCGGUCAGAGCCAUUAUCCACUA